rnacentral:lncRNA from 1 species
GGGAUCAAAGGAACAAAAAAAACCAUGCCCUUUUUUAAGGAGCCCAUUAGCCCAUCAUCCAAUCUAUUUAAAUGGCCCAAUCAAUAAUAUAUUAGCUAAUUUAGCCCAAUCCAAAAAUUAAAUAGAUUAAAUGAAUUAAACAGGUCAGCCAUCUGAAACCUAAAUCUGACCCAUUUAUUAAACAGGUCAAACAGGUCGAUCUGUUUAUGGCCCAAACUUGUUUAGCCCAAACACAAAUCU